rnacentral:rRNA from 1 species
GGGGCAGCAUGGUCUUAGCUUGCUAAGACUGAUGGCGACCGGCGCACGGGUGCGUAACGCGUAUGCAACUUGCCUCACAGAGGGGGAUAACCCGUCGAAAGACGGACUAAUACCGCGUACACUCCAUCUUGGGCAUCCAAGGUAGAGGAAAUGAAAUUCGCUGUGAGAUAGGCAUGCGUCCCAUUAGCUAGUUGGUGAGGUAACGGCUCACCAAGGCGACGAUGGGUAGGGGAACUGAGAGGUUGAACCCCCACACUGGUACUGAGACACGGACCAGACUCCUACGGGAGGCAGCAGUNAGGAAUAUUGGUCAAUGGGCGAGACCUGAACCAGCCAAGUCGCGUGAAGGAUGACUGUCUUAUGGAUUGUAAACUUCUUUUAUACGGGAAUAACAAGAGUCACGAGUGACUCCCUGCAUGUACCGUAUGAAUAAGCAUCGGCUAACUCCGUGCCAGCAGCCGCGGUAAUACGGAGGAUGCGAGCGUUAUCCGGAUUUAUUGGGUUUAAAGGGUGCGUAGGCGGCCUGUUAAGUCAGCGGUGAAAUCUAGGAGCUUAACUCCUAAAUUGCCAUUGAUACUGGCGGGCUUGAGUGUAGAUGAGGUAGGCGGAAUGCGUGGUGUAGCGGUGGAAUGCAUAGAUAUCACGCAGAACUCCGAUUGCGAAGGCAGCUUACUAAGGUACAACUGACGCUGAAGCACGAAAGCGUGGGUAUCAAACAGGAUUAGAUACCCUGGUAGUCCACGCAGUAAACGAUGAUAACUGGGCGUAUGCGAUAUACAGUAUGCUCCUAAGCGAAAGCG